AAGGUAGCUUGCUACCUGACCUAGCGGCGGACGGGUGAAGUAAUGCUUAGGAAUCUGCCUAUUAGUGGGGGACAACAUUCCGAAAGGAAUGCUAAUACCGCAUACGCCCUACGGGGGAAAGCAGGGGAUCUUCGGACCUUGCGCUAAUAGAUGAGCCUAAGUCAGAUUAGCUAGUUGGUGGGGUAAAGGCCUACCAAGGCGACGAUCUGUAGCGGGUCUGAGAGGAUGAUCCGCCACACUGGGACUGAGACACGGCCCAGACUCCUACGGGAGGCAGCAGUGGGGAAUAUUGGACAAUGGGCGCAAGCCUGAUCCAGCCAUGCCGCGUGUGUGAAGAAGGCCUUUUGGUUGUAAAGCACUUUAAGCGAGGAGGAGGGUACUGGUAUUAAUACUACCAGGUACUGGACGUUACUCGCAGAAUAAGCACCGGCUAACUCUGUGCCAGCAGCCGCGGUAAUACAGAGGGUGCGAGCGUUAAUCGGAUUUACUGGGCGUAAAGCGUGCGUAGGCGGCUAAUUGAGUCGGAUGUGAAAUCCCCGAGCUUAACUUGGGAAUUGCAUUCGAUACUGGUUAGCUA
rnacentral:rRNA from 1 species